UACGUAGGGUCCGAGCGUUGUCCGGAAUUACUGGGCGUAAAGAGCUCGUAGGUGGUUUGUCGCGUUGUUCGUGAAAACUCACAGCUUAACUGUGGGCGUGCGGGCGAUACGGGCAGACUUGAGUACUGCAGGGGAGACUGGAACUCCUGGUGUAGCGGUGAAAUGCGCAGAUAUCAGGAGGAACACCGGUGGCGAAGGCGGGUCUCUGGGCCGAUACUGACGCUGAGGAGCGAAAGCGUGGGGAGCGAACAGG
rnacentral:rRNA from 1 species